UAUAUACAACAUGCCGCACGGGCACUUUAUUAAGUAAACAACGUUCAUUGUUUUACAGGUGUAAUAACCUUUAAUCUUGUAGGAUUUUCCAGUGCGGGAUGCUGAAAAUACUGGCCCUUCUGCACAUUGCUGCAUGGCAUGCAGUGGAGACAAGGGAAUGUGCCUCCCUUCUGGUGGCCACCAGUCAGGACGCAGGCAAAAGUACAAGCGAAGACCGACACAGGGCACCAUUAAUUCUGUGUAUAUAAACACAAGUUGAGCUGGAAGAAGUCUUCAUGGCAGUCUGGGCUGUAUGGGGAAGAAAACUGAAAGUGAAAGAUUCCAAUCUGGGAGGAUAUCACUGGAUACUCUACUGUACUGCAUACUACAUGCACUAAGAGGAGCCAGAUGGAGCAACAACAGGAAGAAAUUACAGCAGGUACUGCUCUCUCCUUUACCGUGCCACUGAAAGGGCGCAGAGUGGUAGAAGAUACUUGUACAUAUAAACAGUAUUCUAUAUUGUAAGUUAUGCUUAUACACAGUACAUUACAUAAUAAAUCAGAAGAGAGCAUUUGCCUUGUGAAGGUGCCAGUAUAUUUGGUUCUGUAUUAGAUAAAGGUCAUUACUACCACAUAAGCUUAAAGACUAUAUAUCUUACUUGUAUAAACUUUUUUUCUAGCAUCUUUUUGUCUUCUCUAGUUUGGCUCAUGUCAGUACUACAGCUUCAGUUCUCAAUAAAAUGGUAGAUCAAACUCUCUUUAGACCAAAAAUGACUUACCGUAUUUUCACCCUAUAAGACGCACCAGCCCAGAAGACGCACCUAGGUUUUUAAGGAGGAAAAUAAGAAAAAAAAAUUGAACCAAAAGGUGUGCUUUUGGUGGGCUUUGAACUAAUGGUAGCCUGUG